rnacentral:rRNA from 1 species
UUAUCGGAGAGUUUGAUCCUGGCUCAGGACGAACGCUGGCGGCGUGCCUAAUACAUGCAAGUCGAGCGGACAGAUGGGAGUUUGCUCCCUGAUGUUAGCGGCGGACGGGUGAGUAACACGUGGGUAACCUGCCUGUAAGACUGGGAUAACUCCGGGAAACCGGGGCUAAUACCGGAUGGUUGUUUGAACCGCAUGGUUCAAACAUAAAAGGUGGCUUCGGCUACCACUUACAGAUGGACCCGCGGCGCAUUAGCUAGUUGGUGAGGUAACGGCUCACCAAGGCGACGAUGCGUAGCCGACCUGAGAGGGUGAUCGGCCACACUGGGACUGAGGCACGGCCCAGACUCCUACGGGAGGCAGCAGUAGGGAAUCUUCCGCAAUGGACGAAAGUCUGACGGAGCAACGCCGCGUGAGUGAUGAAGGUUUUCGGAUCGUAAAGCUCUGUUGUUAGGGAAGAACAAGUACCGUUCGAAUAGGGCGGUACCUUGACGGUACCUAACCAGAAAGCCACGGCUAACUACGUGCCAGCAGCCGCGGUAAUACGUAGGUGGCAAGCGUUGUCCGGAAUUAUUGGGCGUAAAGGGCUCGCAGGCGGUUUCUUAAGUCUGAUGUGAAAGCCCCCGGCUCAACCGGGGAGGGUCAUUGGAAACUGGGGAACUUGAGUGCAGAAGAGGAGAGUGGAAUUCCACGUGUAGCGGUGAAAUGCGUAGAGAUGUGGAGGAACACCAGUGGCGAAGGCGACUCUCUGGUCUGUAACUGACGCUGAGGAGCGAAAGCGUGGGGAGCGAACAGGAUUAGAUACCCUGGUAGUCCACGCCGUAAACGAUGAGUGCUAAGUGUUAGGGGGUUUCCGCCCCUUAGUGCUGCAGCUAACGCAUUAAGCACUCCGCCUGGGGAGUACGGUCGCAAGACUGAAACUCAAAGGAAUUGACGGGGGCCCGCACAAGCGGUGGAGCAUGUGGUUUAAUUCGAAGCAACGCGAAGAACCUUACCAGGUCUUGACAUCCUCUGACAAUCCUAGAGAUAGGACGUCCCCUUCGGGGGCAGAGUGACAGGUGGUGCAUGGUUGUCGUCAGCUCGUGUCGUGAGAUGUUGGGUUAAGUCCCGCAACGAGCGCAACCCUUGAUCUUAGUUGCCAGCAUUCAGUUGGGCACUCUAAGGUGACUGCCGGUGACAAACCGGAGGAAGGUGGGGAUGACGUCAAAUCAUCAUGCCCCUUAUGACCUGGGCUACACACGUGCUACAAUGGACAGAACAAAGGGCAGCGAAACCGCGAGGUUAAGCCAAUCCCACAAAUCUGUUCUCAGUUCGGAUCGCAGUCUGCAACUCGACUGCGUGAAGCUGGAAUCGCUAGUAAUCGCGGAUCAGCAUGCCGCGGUGAAUACGUUCCCGGGCCUUGUACACACCGCCCGUCACACCACGAGAGUUUGUAACACCCGAAGUCGGUGAGGUAACCUUUUAGGAGCCAGCCGCCGAAGGUGGGACAGAUGAUUGGGGUGAAGUCGUAACAAGGUAGCCGUAUCGGAAGGUGCGGCUGGAUCACCUCCUUUCUA